UUGCAAUUUAGAAGGACUUAGUGUUCUUAUAGUUAUGAAGCAAUGCUUGAACACGAUGUUCAAGCAAGCUGCCACUGAGCCAGGGAUGGCUAAUUGGCAGCGGUUGCGUAUAUAGAGAUGAUGAAAAUUAAGAACACUUAGCCCUUCUUAAUUGC
rnacentral:ncRNA from 1 species